CAGUGCUGAGUGAUGUGACAUCCUUGUGUCAACUACUUUGCUAAAGAAGAUUUCUCUUUGGAAGACUCCUUUCAGCAGAGUUGCAAGAAUCAACCUUCUCUUUUGAAGCUCUUGCCAAGGGUGUUGAAAUCUGCCGAGAUUUAUUUUGAUGAAGGAGUGAGGACAGCCUUGGAUGAUUUAUUUCAUCCCAUAUUCCUGAGAUACGACCCUGGACAGAUGCCCAAGGUGUAACAUACAAGAACUACCAAGGACUUCAGAAUCAGGAGGACGGGGCAAGAGAAGGCAGUCAUGUCCCACGUCUUGGGCGAGUCCCUGGAACAGGCCACCAAGUGAGGGUCCUUGGCUUCACCAGGGAAGAAUUCAAGAGAGAGCCAGAGUAAAGUGAAAGUUAUAAGCAUGUGAAAGGCUUCCUUAUGCCCAUGAAGACUUUGGCAGCAUUACUGACUUGACCUAGAUGGGAAGACUUCAAAGAGUAAGAAAAAUUCCACUGAGGCGUGUUACUAUUUCCGUAUCUCUGAGUCUUCGGGGAAUCCAGAGAAGGAGCCGGUGUUCCCCAUCUGGGCCGACAUGAGGACAAUGAAUGAAGGCAGGAAAGGCAAUAAAAGAUUGCCCCGUUCGAAGAGAAAUUUAAGGCUGGAGAGAUGCCAAAGGUACUUUUGUACAAAGUUUCCUGAUACCCGUAAACUUGUCAUAAUUCCCUCUGGAGCAUCUUUCUUAAAGU